GACGAACGUUGGCGGCGUGCUUAACGCAUGCAAGUCGAACGGAAAGGCCCUGCUUUUGUGGGGUGCUCGAGUGGCGAACGGGUGAGUAACACGUGAGUAACCUGCCCUUGACUUUGGGAUAACUUCAGGAAACUGGGGCUAAUACCGGAUAGGAGCUCCUGCUGCAUGGUGGGGGUUGGAAAGUUUCGGCGGUUGGGGAUGGACUCGCGGCUUAUCAGCUUGUUGGUGGGGUAGUGGCUUACCAAGGCUUUGACGGGUAGCCGGCCUGAGAGGGUGACCGGCCACAUUGGGACUGAGAUACGGCCCAGACUCCUACGGGAGGCAGCAGUGGGGAAUAUUGCACAAUGGGCGGAAGCCUGAUGCAGCAACGCCGCGUGCGGGAUGACGGCCUUCGGGUUGUAAACCGCUUUCGCCUGUGACGAAGCGUGAGUGACGGUAAUGGGUAAAGAAGCACCGGCUAACUACGUGCCAGCAGCCGCGGUGAUACGUAGGGUGCGAGCGUUGUCCGGAUUUAUUGGGCGUAAAGGGCUCGUAGGUGGUUGAUCGCGUCGGAAGUGUAAUCUUGGGGCUUAACCCUGAGCGUGCUUUCGAUACGGGUUGACUUGAGGAAGGUAGGGGAGAAUGGAAUUCCUGGUGGAGCGGUGGAAUGCGCAGAUAUCAGGAGGAACACCAGUGGCGAAGGCGGUUCUCUGGGCCUUUCCUGACGCUGAGGAGCGAAAGCGUGGGGAGCGAACAGGCUUAGAUACCCUGGUAGUCCACGCUGUAAACGGUGGGUACUAGGUGUGGGGUCCAUUCCACGGGUUCCGUGCCGUAGCUAACGCUUUAAGUACCCCGCCUGGGGAGUACGGCCGCAAGGCUAAAACUCAAAGGAAUUGACGGGGCCCCGCACAAGCGGCGGAGCAUGCGGAUUAAUUCGAUGCAACGCGUAGAACCUUACCUGGGUUUGACAUGGAUCGGGAGUGCUCAGAGAUGGGUGUGCCUCUUUUGGGGUCGGUUCACAGGUGGUGCAUGCCUGUCGUCAGCUCGUGUCGUGAGAUGUUGGGUUAAGUCCCGCAACGAGCGCAACCCUUGUUCACUGUUGCCAGCACGUUAUGGUGGGGACUCAGUGGAGACCGCCGGGGUCAACUCGGAGGAAGGUGGGGAUGACGUCAAGUCCUCAUGCCCCUUAUGUCCAGGGCUUCACGCAUGCUACAAUGGCUGGUACAGAGAGUGGCGAGCCUGUGAGGGUGAGCGAAUCUCGGAAAGCCGGUCUCAGUUCGGAUUGGGGUCUGCAACUCGACCUCAUGAAGUCGGAGUCGCUAGUAAUCGCAGAUCAGCAACGCUGCGGUGAAUACGUUCCCGGGGCU
rnacentral:rRNA from 1 species